GAGUUUCAGGGGACUCUCGACUGAGGGAGCCCCCGCAAGUCGCGCUGCCCCCGACGCGGGAGCCACCUAGCAGACGAGGACACUUGGGUUUCGUAAUGUGACUUUUGUCACAGUGGAGCGCACUUGAGAAUUUCACUUCCUGUUUUAAUUGUUUGGAAAUGAAAUCUGCUGAGAUUUCAUUUUAAAAGAGCGGUGCAAACCUCGUCGAACUUUCUCGGCAAACUGGAAAAGUGAAUGAGAGCAAAAUCGUUGAGCAGCCAGUGAAUCUUGGUAGUUAGGUGCUGAGGAUGAGAAGACUGGGAUUUGGAGAUUUUUCAAGUCUUUCAGAGUUCCACAGCCAAGAAACGAGAGAGCCAGGGCAGGAUCUCAGGUGGUCAGAAUCCAACGUUCUGGAGGCUGGAAGUCCAGAUGAAAGUUCCAGCAGGGUUCGAGUUCUGGUGACAACUCUCUUCCUUGUUUGCAGAUGACUGCUUUGUCCUCGUAUGGCCUUUCCUCUGAGGGAGAGGGAGGGGGCCGAGGGGGUUGGGGAGUUGGCGUGGAAGGAGGCGGAUAGCUCUUUUUUAUAAAGCCGACAGUCCUAGUGGAUUAGGACGCCAUCCUUAUGCCCUCAUUUAACCUUAAUUACCUCCCAAAGACCUUAUUUCCAAAUAUUGCCACAUUGAGGGUCAGGGCUUCAACAUACGCAUUUGGGGGACACAAUUUAGUCCGUAGCAAGCUCUAACAUUGCCUUGACAUUGAGCUCCCCUUACCCUGGGGCAGGAGCCCUGUGACUCUGUCUGGUCCCGCCUUGUGCACACAAAGGAGUUGGCUCUUCCGUGGUGCCCAUUUCAUUGGCCUCCCCCUCCUCGUGUGUCUGGGACUGUUAGGGCUGGUGCCCAUGGGAAGUCCCCGUCCAGCACCACCUUGCUGUGUUUUGUUGUUGUUAAUAUGUUUGCCAAGCUGUCUCUCUUUUCCUAGGUUUGAAAAUGCAAAUAGAUAUUUCUCAUGAGAAUUGUAUCGUUUUUUUUUUCCUGGUACAUUUUAUUGGAAAUCACUGUUAUAUACUAUAUAUACCGUUCUGGGGAAAUGCCACUUCCUUUAUUAUAAACAUUACAGAAUAGGGAUAGUAUAAUUGAUCAUGUUUCCAGAGCACUUUACAGUUUGCAAAUUGAUCUCAUUUGCUUAAUUUCCUCAUUUGGUCCCUGGGGGUAAGCAAGACAAGUAUUAUUAUUCCCAUUUUACAGAUGAAGAAAUCAAAACUCAGAAUUCACUGAUUCAUACAGGGGAGCUGGAAAAUUCUUCUGUCUGCUAAGUUUUCUUCCUACGAGGUUCUUUUUUUUUUUUUUUUAUUCAUUUGAGACACAGAGAUACAGAGAGAGAGAGAGAGAGAGAGAGAGAGGGAGAGAGCAUGAGCAGGAAGAGAGGCAGAGGGAGAGGGAGAAGCAGGCUCCCCGCUGAGCAGGAAGCCCGAUGCGGGGCUCGAUCCCAGGACGCUGGGAUCAUGACCUGAGCUGAAGGCAGACGCUUAACCAUCUGAGCCACCCAGGCGCCCCAUCGUACGAGGUUCUUUUCACCCACAGCAACCUCUGUAAACUUAUGCUCCAAUUUCUCCAGGCCACCUACUGACUCUUAUCUCCUGGGUCAUGGACCCCCUUGACACAAGAAAGCAUUCUUCCCUAGACUUCGGUUCUGGAUUGUGGUGACCUCAGUCAAUCCAAGAGCAAAGUUCAUGAAGAUAUUCACUGGCGGGUUUGUUCCUGAUGUUGCUCCUUGUGAUGGCUGCCUCUGGGUGUCUUGAGCUUCAGGGUCACCCUGGUGCUGAGACACAGCAUUGCUGAGCUCAUGGGGCGCCCCAGGCUUGUUUUGACUGCACAUCGAUGUCAUCUCAGAGCUGUGGUUACUGUGGUUUUGGGAUGCAAAGCUUCAAAGAUGACUGUAAAUAGUGCACUCCCAUCCCAUUGGAACAACCCAGUCCAAGGAAAACAGCAAAAGCUAAUCGAAACUAAGACAACAGCACAAAUAUUUAUGGGGGCAGAAAUUGAAACACUAGCAAAAACAAAGACUGCAUUUCAGAUUCGUAUUAAUUAAACGAAAACAAAUAUUAUGGUAUCUAAUGGAAAUUUUUUUUUUUUUUUUACCAUCAGAUCGGAUACCUUUGAAUGAUUGUUACAACUAGAAGGAUAAAGUCAUACAAAUGAUUUACUCAAAAUAGUUACUAGUUUCAGCCAUUUGCCUUCCUACUGAGUGUCUAGUGUUGCCCAAUGUCAGAGGAAGGGCACAGAAAUGGGGCUCAGGACAAAUGCCAUAAGUAGUUGUGUAACUUUGAGCCUGUCACCUAACCCUGCCCAAAGUGACCUUCGGUUUCUUCAGCUGAGAAGAAGAGAGAAGAGAAAAGAAGGGAUUGGGGAGGGAGACAGCAUGGUAUCCUCCAGACUGAACUCUAUGAUCUCUAACACAGUGGUUCCAAGUAGGGGCUGGAACUGGGGUGCUCA